AGAGUUUGAUCAUGGCUCAGGAUGAACGCUAGCGGCAGGCCUAAUACAUGCAAGUCAAGGGGCACGCAAGUGCACCGGCGGACGGGUGCGUAACGCGUACAGAACAUACCCUUAAGCGGGGGAUAGCAUCGGGAAACUGGUGGUAAUACCCCAUGUGAUUGCGAGGUGGCAUCACUUUGCAAUGAAAGUUACGGCGCUUAAGGAUUGCUGUGCGUCCGAUUAGCUAGUUGGCGGGGUAACGGCCCACCAAGGCGAUGAUCGGUAGGGGGUGUGAGAGCAUGACCCCCCACACGGGUACUGAGACACGGACCCGACUCCUACGGGAGGCAGCAGUAAGGAAUAUUGGACAAUGGAGGGAACUCUGAUCCAGCCAUGCCGCGUGAAGGAUGAAUGCGCUCAGCGUUGUAAACUUCUUUUGGAUGGGAACAAAAACUUCGACGUGUCGGAGCCUGAGGGUACCAUCAGAAUAAGCACCGGCUAACUCCGUGCCAGCAGCCGCGGUAAUAC
rnacentral:rRNA from 1 species